ensembl:lncRNA
GCAGAGACAGCCGGGAGCUCUGACCACUAACUAUUUGGGGGCCCCACAGCAGGCUGGGAGCUUUAGAUUAUUGCAAAUGACAUCCAUGAAAAGAGAAAGCAGCUGCCAUGCAGCCUGUGUCACCUUAGAGGGGUCAGACUGGUCAGUUUAUCUUCCUCGAACCUGCCACCUAGAACCGCCAGGCUGAGGAGGCUUUCACCAUGACCGCCAAGGAUGUGUUCAAAACCCCCACCCCACUGUCAGGGAGCAAACUUAGUCUCCCAGCCCCAGAAAAAUACAUCCGGGCCAUCCAGGCCUCUUCUGCACCUGGGUUAUUUACUACCCAAACCUCACCUUGAAACAGCUAAGAUCAGGUCAUGGUUCAGGAUGUCGGCCCCUGCCUGGGCUCACCCUGCACGGUACAGGCUUGCUGUCCACAAAGAUGCAGUUUAUAAGAACAGUAGGCACGGGGGUAUCUCAGAGCUACUUGCGUACUAGGGCAUCCAGGAUGAGAACUCCAGCUUUACACCGGAUCUAACCCCGGACCCCAAGCACACACACUACCCCAGAGCCCAGCCUCUGCACCCCCUGCCAUGUCAACCAAGCAUUUUCAGUUCAUUUUCUCCUGGGCAAGCCUAUAUUGAAUCGCAGGCCUAGAAGUUUUAUCCCCGUUUCACAGAUUGGCAGGCUAAGACAAGACAAAUGCAGUGGUUUGCCAAGGGCCAGAGAAGGGAGCCCAAGUCUGCAAGCCUGCAAGGUCGCGUUCAUGAGAACUUUCAUCCUGCUAUGACUCGGCGGCAGGCACAUGGGCCUGGGUGGUUACUGAGAAAACUUUCAGAAGGGCUUUCGGGGACGUGAAGUCACCCCUGGCUUCCCGGGAUUCGGGGUUGGGAGCAGCCGCGCAGGAGCGGUGAAGCCAGAGGCCAGGGCAGUCCGUGCUGCGGGCAGCUCCCAAGGUCUGCGCUGGGCUGCCGCCCGCUGGCCAUGGCCUGGUCACCUGCAGCGCACAUUGCUGGGGAGGAAGAGCCGUGGAUUUCAGUCUGUAUGCCCAGAUGAUUAAGAAGCUGCCGCCCGCUAGCGGGAGGGGACUCCGCCGGGAAGUGGCCCCGCAGCCCGGCCGGGCGCCGCACGUCCAUCCUGGAGGCCACCGUCGCUCACCGAACAUCUGGCACGUGCCGUUGGUGCUGGGGUGCUGCGGGAGCGGGCCCUGCCUUCGGGAAGCUUCCAUAGGGGAGGAGGCGAUCGAUCAGACCACAGCAAACGAGCAAGAUGACCACAGUGGCCCAUGGAGGGGGACUAGGAGCAGUGUGGCCUAGAAACAAGGAAAGCCUCCUGCCCGGUGUGCACGGGGAGUUAGAAAGUGUGACCAUACUGUUCAGGGCAGGGACAAAACCCAGCUUCUGGUGUCUUCUGCAAGGGGAAGAAGCCUGGUGGUGGGAGCCAGGGCAAUCCCCGGGGAAGAGGCGGCCCCGCACAGAUCAUCAGGGGCUGGGACGAAGGGUUUGGCUUCUCUAAACGCAGCGGGAAGUUUUAAGCCAGAGCCACACAGAGCAUCCCUGUAGCUGCCGCAGGAGAGUGCGCGGAGUUCCCAGCAGGGCGAAAGCACCUUGGGGCCGGGACACUUCUGCUCCCAUGACCCCCGCCCCAGCAGGGCGCCCCUGUUUGGGGAACAGCCAGCAAUCAGGGACAGCGCCCCAGGCCCCGCUAGCGCCAGCACUGGCAGGAGGGACGCAUGGAGGUCGGACGGAACAGGGGAGGGGGCCCUGGCCAGGGAGGUCUCAGGCCCUCCCCACUAAAGUCAGCUCGACCCAGGGCCUCUCUGCGCAGCCCAGCGCGGCUUGCGGGAGAGGCUCCUAGGACCGGAGGGAAAGCCGCUCUAAACCGGAAUGAUCUGGUUUGGAGCGGGUUGGCUCCCUCCCUGCUCCCCCGCCCACUGCUCUCCCUCUCCUUCAGCGACGGGCUGGUUUUUGCCGCAGUCCCUGACCAAGGUAAACAGGAGGGAGGAGGAAAGACGGCUCUGUUUCCAUGGCAACCCAGAGCCCAGAGGGCAGGCACUGUGGUUCUCCGGGAUGUGCGGGGGUGGCUUCGGGGAGAAGAAAAGGCUCCCUGGAAAAGCCACAGGGAGGAAGGACCCUUCCAUGCACACGGUGGGGUGCGUUCAGAAGUAGGGGAUGGAGGGAAAAGGAGAGGGGUCAGGCACCCUCGGUGGAGAAUUGAGCAGGGGCCUGGGGACACAGAGACACAUAAGGCCAGGGGUCACACCGAAAAUGCAAGCGCACACCCUCUUCUGACCACUCAACCCAGGGAGCAGAAAAGAGGUGCCAGAGCGCUCAGAGCUUCCGAAAUCCACACCUCCCUGGUCCUUUCCAGAAAACCCUUCCAGGGGGCAGCUCAGCCCGGGGACAACCACAGAGGUGGGAUCUGGGCCCAAAGACAGGUGUCACCUGAAACAGGCCACUGUUGUCCGGCUGCAGUAUGCUGGGAGGACCAGCUCCCGCUCCACCCUGCUCCCCCUGGGAGGAAGGUUGACCCCAGCGUGGGAGUGUGGCUGUGGAAAGGCAUCCUUGCUGCAGCUGUGACUGUGAUGGGACAGCAGAGUCAUGCAUAGGAUUCUAGGGCUGGGGGUCCCAGAGGGGUGGCCCUGCCCCUCCUGGGGGCCAAGGACUGUCACCAUGUCACUACGGCACUCUCCAGCUGCUGACCGAAGCCCUCGCUGACCACAGCCCUGCCACAUUCCAGGUCUUCCCUCUGUAGCAACGUGAAGAGACUGCAGUGAGGUGUGGAAUUGGGCAGUUCUUCCGGAUUCAUUAAAAACUCGUUCCACCACAGGAGUCAGCCUGGCCACUCAGGUGUGGGGCGGGUCUCUCCUCAUUUCGCUUUCACCUGCGUGCCCAGGGAUAGGAGAAAACGGCACAGAGAGAGGUGGUAGAGGGUAAGCAUCCUGCCCUGGCAAAGCUGAAUGAAUGCGGGUAGCUUCAGCCCAGUGAAGCAGCGGCAGGGGCGCCUGUGGGGACCUGGGUGGAGGUGCCCUCUGACCUUGGUUUCGCUGGGCCAGGGGGUGAAUGCUUCUGGCAGUGGAGCUUCCAGGCCCGGAAAACCCAGGCCUCUUCUCACAGGGGCCCUCAGGUGCUUGUGGACUGCCCAGAGACAGAAGAGAACUGAGGGUGGGAGGGCCUGCUUUCGCCUGCAGAACACCCUGAAAUACCCCAUUUACCCAGCUCUCUCCAGGGCCCGCACAGUCCAAACUUCUCUGGCCUCAACUCCUACCACUGUGCCUUUGCUUCCUCUUGACCAGCCACGGUGGCUUCCUUGCUGCUCCUUGAGCGGUCAGGCGUGCUCCCUCUUUCUGGAAGUCUCCUCCUCCAGUAUCCACGUGGCUCCAUGCCUGGCCUUCUUCAGUUUUUUAAUGUGGCCUUCUCACUGAGGCAGAGCCGGGGCUACGGUGAGGCAAGUGAGGCAGCAAGGGCUUUCCUGCCCUCUCUUGUUAAAACUGUCUACUCUCCCCUCUGCUCAGGACUCUCCCCUCUGCUCAGGAGCACCAUCUUGUUUAGUAGGCACGCUGUUUAUUGCUGGACUUUCUCCGUUAGAAUGGAAGUGCCAUGAGAACUGGAAUCGUCUCUGCCUUGUUCUUGUUCUGUCUGUAUUUUUCAGAGCCUAGCACAUAGUAGGUGCUCAGUGUACACUAUCAGAUGGAGGGGCGGAUGGAGGGAUAAAUGGGGCCAUGGGGUCAGUAGGCUGUGUCCUUCCCCAGUUCCCCUUCCAACAAGUGGGAAGUGUGCUGCGGCCUUAGAAGAGGCUGGCAGAGUGGUGAAACGCACUCCUGGUGAGGCACACAAUGUGAGGUACAGGGGUUACAACUAAAAAGAAAAACAGACUGGCCUUAAAAAAAUAACGAAGGUGGAGGCUGCUACUUCCACCAGGCCCAGUAGCCCCAGCCAGGCUUUAAGAGUCUUCCUACAUCGACCCGGUGAGGUGGUUCACGCCUGUCAUCCCAGCACUUUGGGAGGCCGAGGUGGGUGGAUCACUUGAGUCAGGAGUUCAAGACCAGCCUAGCCAACAUGACAAAACCCCACCUCUACUAAAACUACCAAAAAAAAAAAAAAAAAA